rnacentral:rRNA from 1 species
CGAACGGGUGAGUAAUGAAUCGCUAAUGUACCCCGGACUCUGGGAUAGCCGGCCGAAAGGCCGGGUAAUACCAGAUGAUAUACCCCCUCCGCAUGGAGGGGUUCUCAAAGGUCCGCCGGUCUGGGAGCAGGCGAUUUCGUAUCAGCUAGUUGGUGAGGUAACGGCUCACCAAGGCGACGACGCGUAGCCGGACUGAGAGGUUGGCCGGCCACAUUGGGACUGAGACACUGCCCAG